AACGGCUCGGCGCGGGCGCUCCGGAAGUGACGUCCUCAAAGCGUCGAGGCGCUAGCCAUGGCUCACGCGGCCGCAGAGCGGCCGCCAGAGGAAACCCUGUCGCUGUGGAAAGGGGAACAAGCCCGGCUGAAAGCGCGCGUGGUGGAUCGGGACACGGAGGCCUGGCAGCGGGACCCCAGCUUCUCUGGCCUGCAGAAGGUCGGGGGCGUGGACGUGUCCUUCGUGAAAGGGGACAGUGUCCGGGCCUGCGCUUCCCUGGUAGUGCUGAGCUACCCCGAGCUCAAGGUGGUGUAUGAGGACAGCCGCAUGGUUGGCCUGAAGGCCCCCUAUGUGUCAGGCUUCCUGGCCUUCCGAGAGGUCCCUUUCCUGGUGGAGUUGGUACAGCGGCUGCAAGAGAAGGAACCAGAUCUCAUGCCCCAGGUCAUUCUUGUGGAUGGAAACGGGGUCCUUCACCAACGAGGCUUCGGGGUGGCCUGCCACCUUGGUGUCCUUACAGAGCUGCCCUGCAUCGGGGUGGCCAAGAAGCUCCUGCAGGUGGAUGGACUGGAGAACAAUGCCCUGCACAAGGAGAAGAUUGUGCUCCUGCAGGCCGGAGGAGACACAUUUCCUCUGAUAGGCAGCUCUGGGACUGUCCUGGGAAUGGCCCUGAGGAGCCAUGACCACAGCACCAAGCCCCUCUAUGUCUCUGUGGGCCACAGAAUAAGCCUGGAGGUCGCUGUGCGCCUCACCCACCACUGCUGUAGGUUCCGGAUCCCAGAACCUAUACGCCAGGCUGACAUCCGCUCUCGAGAGUACAUUCGGAGGACUCUAGGGCAGCUUGGGGUGGCUCCUGCACAGAGAAAGGACAGGAGCCAGAAGGAGCAGAGGCCAAAUGCAUGCCCCCAGGGAGGCCCAGGGGCACCUGCAGAUCAAGGCAGGCCUCCUGAAUGCCACGGGAGAGACUCCAGCUCAGACCCGAAAGCCCCCAAGCCAGGCUUCCAGAAGCAGAAGGACCAGCAGUUGGAGGGAACCGGACAUCAGGAAGAUUCGGAUCUCUGGCCUCCUUCUCCAGCCUGGGUACAGUCACCACCCUGAGAAGAUGAUCUCUAGGAGCGGUGGGGACCUCACCACGCCCCAGAGGCAACAGUGCGUGGAACUCCAGGAGGAUGCAGCAGGCUUAGUCCAGUGUGGGCCAGCGGCUGCCAGCCUCCUCCAUCACUGGCUAGUCAGUGUGUUCACCAUGCCCCAGCAGGACCACAUUCCAGACCAGGAAGCACACAUAAGCACCAAGAGUACAUGAAGGACUUCAGGCCUCGGGUGCCCAGAGGCCCUGCGGUUGGCAGCCUGUGCCAGCAGCUCUGCCUUUCCCUCUUGGGAAUACAGACCUGGCUCUUCCUGGCUUUACCCUCAUGGGUCACUCUUACUUCACCAUCCCAGCCACAGGAGACUGUCACCCGUGUCAUAGCCAGACUGCAGCCCCCAUGGUGCCUGUCCUCAAGCUUGUCUGCUGCUGAGCUUGAGGGACCUGCAGUGGGAAAGCCUCAAUCCUGGAGCGGGCUCAAGAGUGGGCGUUGGGGAGUCAGCUGCACAGAGGGUGCCAGAUGGGAAGCCGGUUGAGGCCCAUGGUGAGAAAGCCCCAGGCUCGGCUCCUCACUCCUCUUCCUGCCACCCUCUCACCAGAGAGCGUCAAAAUCCCAUCCCACUAAGAAGGCGGGACCCCAGUCAUCCCCAUUUCCUGCUCAUGGGACAACAAGAUUGGUGGACUGCCAGGGCUGGAGCCGCCUACUAUGAUCUAGCCAUGGCCAACCCCGAGGAGAGAGGCCCAAGCCAUCGUGGUUCCUACAUCCCAGGCAGGUCAGGCUGGGGAACCUUGACCCUUCCUCAACACCUCAAGAGAGCCACUUGCUGUCUCCUGGCUUCUGGGGAGCACACAUGCUCCUUAGAUCCCAAUGGGAAUAUACUGUCCUGCCUCCUCAGAAGAGUCCAUGAAGAGCUAGGUCUUAGGCUGAGACCUAGGGAUUGCAUCUGUACAGGGCUCCAGCCCCAGGUCUCUGUUCUUGAAUGCUAAGUGUACCUGGCCAAGUCACUCUGCCUCUGGGUAACUCUUUCCUUGAUAGUGAGAUGGUGGGUAUAGUGUCUCCAGAGUCAGCAGGAUAUCAGCCUGGAACACCUUCCCCUUCUGAGAGUGCUAGAGUGAACACCGCCCCCCUCCAACCCACUUGUCUGGUAUCGAAGGUGAGAAGCAAGCAUCAGCGUAGUAAGGUAGAGGCUUACCCACCUGGCCCACUCACCCCAGCAGCAGCCCAAUCCCGCAUCCCUGCUGCACCGCCCUGACCAAUUUAUUAAUUAAAAGCAGAGGCACAGAACAGCGGCACGGCACCACUGACUUGCAGAUGAAUGGCCCAAGAAGUAGUUAGGUGGGUGUCGCCGUGGUGAUGGAGUAGGACUCUGGUUCCCAUUCCCCACACAGAGCAGGCGCCUGCUGCACCAGGUCCUUAAAGGCUCCUGGGAAAUGGGAAGAUGAAGUGCAGGAGCCGGGACUCCAGGCAGAGGCACCUGGAUCAGGUCUUGAUGGAGAGAGUGUAGUUUGGGCUGGAGUUUUGUCUUGUCUUGUUUUGUUUUGAACAUGGUCUUAUCACAGCGGAACUGGAUGACCUUGAGCCUCUGGUCUUCCUUCUCCCAGCUCCUAGCAGUGGGGCUACAUUGCAGGUCUAUGCCACCACAUUGGUGCUGGAGAUCAAAGCCAAGGCUCUGUGCUUGCUGAACAAACUACCAACUGGGCUGGAGAGAUGGCUCAAUGGUUAAGAGCACUGACUGCUCUUCCAGAGGUCCCGAG